CCGAAAGGAAGAUUAAUACCGCAUAACAUAAGAGAAUCGCAUGAUUUUCUUAUCAAAGAUUUAUUGCUUUGAGAUGGACCCGCGGCGCAUUAGCUAGUUGGUAAGGUAACGGCUUACCAAGGCAACGAUGCGUAGCCGACCUGAGAGGGUGAUCGGCCACAUUGGAACUGAGACACGGUCCAGACUCCUACGGGAGGCAGCAGUGGGGAAUAUUGCGCAAUGGGGGAAACCCUGACGCAGCAACGCCGCGUGGGUGAUGAAGGUCUUCGGAUUGUAAAGCCCUGUUUUCUGGGACGAUAAUGACGGUACCAGAGGAGGAAGCCACGGCUAACUACGUGCCAGCAGCCGCGGUAAUACGUAGGUGGCGAGCGUUGUCCGGAUUUACUGGGCGUAAAGGGUGCGUAGGCGGAUGUUUAAGUGGGAUGUGAAAUCCCCGGGCUUAACCUGGGGGCUGCAUUCCAAACUGGAUAUCUAGAGUGCAGGAGAGGAAAGCGGAAUUCCUAGUGUAGCGGUGAAAUGCGUAGAGAUUAGGAAGAACACCAGUGGCGAAGGCGGCUUUCUGGACUGUAACUGACGCUGA
rnacentral:rRNA from 1 species